rnacentral:rRNA from 1 species
GCUAGAUCUAGUCCUAACAAUUCAAUACUAAACUAUUCAUCAUAUCUACAAAACAUUCACUUAAGUCUUAGUAUAGGUGAUAGAACAGACAAACUCCUAGGCACAAUAGAGAAAGUACCGUGAGGGAACGUUGAAAGAUUCCAUCCUGUAAGCAAUAAAAAGCAAAGACUUCACCUUCUACCUUUUGCAUAAUGAUUUAGCUAGUCUAACCGGACAAAACGAAUUUAAGCCCGCCUUCCCGAAAUUAAGUGAGCUAUUGUAGAACAGUUAAUAGAACGAACUCGUCUGUGUAGCAAAACAGUGAGAUGAUUUUACAAUAGGGGUGAAAAGCCAAUCGAACUUAAUGAUAGCUGGUUGUCCAAAAAAUGAAUUUAAGUUCAACUUUAAAUUUAACUUAAGUACUUUUAAACACCAUUUAAAUUUAAAUGUUAUUCAAAAGAGGGACAACUCUUUUGAUAUGUAGACAAACUUUUAUAGAGGAUAAUGGAAUUUACACAACACAUUGUAGGCCUAAAAGCAGCCAUCAACUAAGAAAGCGUUAAAGCUCAAACUUAUCUAAUAUUUAAUACCCACAAUCUAUCAAAAUCCCUAAUUACAUAUUGGACAAUUCUAUAACUACUUAGAAGAUAUAAUGCUAAUAUGAGUAACCUGAAUUUAUUCUCCUUGCACAAGCAUAAAUACAGAUCGGAAUAACCGCUUACACUUAACCAAAUAAAUAACUAAAUCCAUACACUAGCAGUCUAUUACACACUUUGUUAGCCCAACCCAGGUGUGCAUACAAAGGAAAGAUUAAAAGGAAUAAAAGGAACUCGGCAAAUACGAACCCCGCCUGUUUACCAAAAACAUCACCUCUAGCAUUAACCAGUAUUAGAGGCACUGCCUGCCCGGUGAGUUAUGACUUUAACGGCCGCGGUAUCCUGACCGUGCAAAGGUAGCAUAAUCACUUGUCUUUUAAUUGGAGACUAGUAUGAAUGGCAUCACGAGGGCUCGACUGUCUCUUAUUCCUAAUCAGUGAAAUUGACCUCCCCGUGCAGAGGCGGGGAUAUCUAUACAAGACGAGAAGACCCUGUGGAGCUUAAGACACAUAACUCAACAAAUACAAAUAUUCAACCUACUGGAAUAAACUGUAUAUCUAACUGAGUAAUUGUCUUUGGUUGGGGUGACCUCGGAGCAUAAAAUAACCUCCGAAUGAUUAUAACCUAGAUCAACUAAUCCAAGUGUAAUAAUACCAGUAAUUGACCCAUAAUUUGAUCAACGGAACAAGUUACCCCAGGGAUAACAGCGCAAUCCUAUUUGAGAGCCCAUAUCGAAAAUUAGGGUUUACGACCUCGAUGUUGGAUCAGGACAUCCAAAUGGUGCAACCGCUAUUAAAGGUUCGUUUGUUCAACGAUUAAAGUCCUACGUGAUCUGAGUUCAGACCGGAGAAAUCCAGGUCGGUUUCUAUCUGUAAAUUAAUUUCUCCCAGUACGAAAGGACAAGAGAAAUAGGGCCAACACCACUAACAAGCCCUAAAACUAACAUAUGAAUCAAUCUAAAUAUAUUAAUUUAACUAAUUCAUACCCAAGAUCAGGGUU